rnacentral:rRNA from 1 species
GGAAUUCNUAGUGUAGCGGUGAAAUGCGUAGAUAUUAGGAAGANCACCAGUGGCGAAGGCGACUUUCUGGACGAAAACUGACGCUGAGGCGCGAAAGCCAGGGGAGCGAACGGGAUUAGAUACCCCGGUAGUCCUGGCCGUAGACGAUGGGUACUAGGUGUAGGAGGUAUCGACCCCUUCUGUGCCGGAGUUAACGCAAUAAGUACCCCGCCUGGGGAGUACGACCGCAAGGUUGAAACUCAAAGGAAUUGACGGGGGCCCGCACAAGCGGUGGAGUAUGUGGUUUAAUUCGACGCAACGCGAAGAACCUUACCAGGUCUUGACAUUGAUGGACAGAACCAGAGAUGGUUCCUCUUCUUCGGAAGCCAGAAAACAGGUGGUGCACGGUUGUCGUCAGCUCGUGUCGUGAGAUGUUGGGUUAAGUCCCGCAACGAGCGCAACCCCUAUCUUAUGUUGCCAGCACUUUGGGUGGGGACUCAUGAGAGACUGCCGCAGACAAUGCGGAGGAAGGCGGGGAUGACGUCAAAUCAUCAUGCCCCUUAUGACCUGGGCUACACACGUACUACAAUGGGAGUUAAUAGACGGAAGCGAGAUCGCGAGAUGGAGCAAACCCGAGAAACACUCUCUCAGUUCGGAUCGUAGGCUGCAACU